AACGAACGCUGGCGGCAUGCCUAACACAUGCAAGUCGAACGAGACCUUCGGGUCUAGUGGCGCACGGGUGCGUAACGCGUGGGAACCUGCCCUUAGGUUCGGAAUAACUCCCCGAAAGGGGUGCUAAUACCGGAUAAUGUCUUCGGACCAAAGGUUUAUCGCCUUUGGAUGGGCCCGCGUUGGAUUAGCUAGUUGGUAGGGUAAAAGCCUACCAAGGCGACGAUCCAUAGCUGGUCUGAGAGGAUGAUCAGCCACACUGGGACUGAGACACGGCCCAGACUCCUGCGGAAGGCGGCAGUGGGGAAUAUUGGACAAUGGGCGGAAGCCUGAUCCAGCAAUGCCGCGUGAGUGAUGAAGGCCUUAGGGUUGUAAAGCUCUUUUACCCGGGAUGAUAAUGACAGUACCGGGAGAAUAAGCUCCGGCUAACUCCGUG
rnacentral:rRNA from 1 species